CUCAUUCCUGGGGGAGGAGGAGAAGACAAAACCAACACAGGACAAUUUCAGUCAAAUGGGCUAUCUUCAAAAAUACCAUUCUGAGCUACUAGGAUGGCUCUAAAUACUGUUCUGAAACAAAUAAUGGCUACCCAGCUGGAUUAAUACCCUAAUGUUCAAACAAGGUACAGCUAUUUGUGGUCCUUUCUGCGUCCCAGCACUUUGAGUCUGGGACAAGGGGGAAGAGGUUAUGGCCCUCUUAUGCACUCAUGCUGCUGACUCAGGGGCUCAUUCUUCAGAGUUCCAUUAGUGCAGCUGUACGAGUCAUGCUCCACACUCACUCACAAGGCCCCGCUAUAGUGAUCAGAUGAAAGGAAUGAUGGAUGCUGUUUAUUAGCUCUGAAGAGCUUGCAGACAUUUGCACCGGGCUGAGGACAGGAAGGGGCUCACUGAGGUGGAGACGAGCCAACACAAGGCGUGGGCACAUCACCACGGCAACCAAGGGAUCCCUCGAGAGCCACUGCUAUUAUCUCUGAGGGGGGAAAACUCUUGAGGCAACAAGGAUUCAUCUCAAGUAAAUAAAUAAAUAAGCUACAUUCGAUGGGAAAGGGAAUCCCCCCACCCCCACCCCGUGCAUGGGGCUGUGUCAAAGGGCAUAACGCAAGUUUCUGUUCACCUUAAAACCUUACUAGGGUGAGUUGUCGUCACCAUGACAGGACAGGAUGCACUUUUGAAGCUUAGGAAGGCAGUAAGAUUAUGUCUCAGCUAGACUAAACCCACUUUACGAUACGACCUCUGAUAGAGCAGUUGUUUCCCCCGGUGUUAGGAGAGCAGCCCAGAAUGUUCAGACCUACCGCCCCUUGCCAGGACAGACUGCACACGCCCACAGAGGACGAAUUCAAUGAAGUGGGAAAGUAGAGUGCUGGGAGCAGGCUUCUGCUAUAUGACCAUAUCCAGCCAUUUGCUUGCCAAAUGUUUAAGUAAAUAAAUAUAAAAUUAGAGUAAAUCUUACCACUUUCCACAGCAAUCACUUUAGAGAGUUGAUUAUAUAAAAAUGAUAAAUACCCAAACAAACAUGCAAGUGGCUUAUUUUACAAUACAUUUGGUUUCUUGGUUUUAAAGUGUUAAUAUUUUAUCCAUUGGAUAAAUCAACAAAUGCUCCAUGUUCUCCUGUAUGGAGAGCAGAGUAUGAGCAGAAAUGAGGUUUCUCAUUUGUUGAACUUUAAACCUAACUGAACCUACUUCCAAAAUUCAUUUCCUGUUCAUACGGCCAGAAGUCGAUAGCAAUGUAAAUCAGAUAAUGUUUUGAUAAUCAGCUAAUCAGGACUUAAUUUACUACAGGAAUAAAUGCACUUCACGAUCCCUUUUAUAUUUUCUCCACUAAUACAUUUUAAUUGUGUGGAAAUACAGUACUUCAUAGGAUUAACAUGUCUAUUAAUAGAGCUUUCAUCACUGAAGAAAAGCAUUAUGCCUACAGAAUAUGCAUCUUCUGUGUUUUCUGCUGUUCUUAAAUGGCUAGGUGGCUGAAGAGCCUACCACUUACAGGCGCAGCAAACUGUCUGAACGGCAGCUGCUCAGUUUAACUUACUCUUUUGAAGGGAAAUAUAUAUUUAACAAGACACAGAGAUGUUAGAAAGUUUUAAGGAAAAGCUGAUAGACAGCAAUUUUUCAAUUCAGACUCAAAAUGAGACCAUUACAAAUAGUAGUCAACAGCAGAGGGAUGAAACAAAUGUGUAUUAGACACUUUGUUGUAAUGCUUCCCAACUCCCAAAGAUCAUAAACAAAAGCAGCCUAUUAUAAACAUAACUCCUGGUGAUUCUCCGUUCUACACAGAAAAGCGUUGUUUAGAAUUAGUUUCUUCAUAGCUGGACAGUGCCGCCAAUGCUCCUGGGCUCAAUGUCUGUGAACACCCACACGUUUCCCUGCAUGUUCUCGGAUGUUGUACCUGGAGAACCAGAGCCCCAGUCAGCUCAGUUGCAGAUUCUGGGAAAAUUUCAGCUGCCAUCAUGGCAGGGAUGGUGUUCACGAUUACAAAUUUUCCUUCCUUCAAGGGACCAGUUUAAAGACUGAUGAUAGUGUUGGUCAACGUCACUUUAGUUUCUGCAACUUCCAAAAGUACUUCUCUUCAUUUCAAAUUCAUUAUCUGCUGUUACACUGUUCGCUAAGAUCGCUACCAGCAAUAUCACCAUGACCACCUGGUUUACAUGAUCACCAAAGUGGGCAUUUUCACCAAAAGCCACUUUGACAGCUACUGACAGUCACCGGUCCCUUCUCUUAGUCACAACUUUCCUCGCUUCAGCUGUAAAUAUGCACUUUGGUAAUUGUGAAUUAUCCAGAGUAAGGGGCAAAGGUAACAAAAACAAACUCUUGCCCCUGCCUGCCAUCUUGAUCGGCCUCUGCUGUCCAAUAUAAUCAAGAGGUGUCCUUUCCCAUUUUCCUGAAUGCCACCCACAAAGACAGGUUCACUGUCAAGCGGGCACUUCGAGAGUCUGCUGGAAUUACCUCUCUGGCUCAUCCUGCUUCCCACCCUUGGGGCCCUUCACCAGAGCCAGAUUGGAAGCCUGGCGUUUCAUGCCCAUGUGAGCGUGCCAUCCGUGAGGAGAACCUGCCUAGUUAACUCAAGGCCCCACAAAGUGCCGCUGUGUUUGCUGAGUGCCCUGGGUGAGGCCCCAGGGAUGCUUCCCGGACUACCUGAGAGGUUCUACAAAGACUUUGCUCAGCCAAGCCAAGGCCAGAGGCCAGGUCACAGUUGUGGGAAGACCUGCCUGUGUCUGUAUCCCUGGGGCUCCUCUAAACCUGCCGGUUUGUGAGAUGAUUUCAUGGUUUCUUUUACAUGUAUCAAAUGUCUACCCUACAAAGAACUGGAUGGAGUUAACAGCUGAGCAAAGAUUAGAGAGGAACCUACUUUCAUUUGGGAAAAACAGGACCAUACCAUGUGUACAAGACAGAAAUUUCUACAGAUGCUUUAUGAAAGAAAAAAUAUCUUACCAAAGUUACUACUGCACAUUCAGCAGUUAGCAGUGCGGCACUAAAAAGAGUACGAACAAAUCUGUAAAUGAAUUCGUGUUCAGGAUCAUG